GACGAACGCUGGCGGCGUGCUUAACACAUGCAAGUCAAGCGAGGUCCUACCGGUGGCAACACCGGGAACGACCUAGCGGCGAACGGGUGAGUAACACGUGAGGAACCUGCCCCGAAGACCGGGAUAACCCUCCGAAAGGGGGGCUAAUACCGGAUACCCUCCUCCGGUCGCAUGGCUGGACGAGGAAAGGGCUUCACCGCUUCGGGAGGGCCUCGCGGCCUAUCAGCUUGUUGGUGAGGUAACGGCUCACCAAGGCGACGACGGGUAGCUGGUCUGAGAGGACGAUCAGCCACACUGGGACUGAGACACGGCCCAGACUCCUACGGGAGGCAGCAGUGGGGAAUCUUGCGCAAUGGGCGAAAGCCUGACGCAGCAACGCCGCGUGCGGGAUGAAGGCCUUCGGGUUGUAAACCGCUUUCAGUGGGGACGAAUCCAGACGGUACCCACAGAAGAAGCCCCGGCCAACUACGUGCCAGCAGCCGCGGUAACACGUAGGGGGCGAGCGUUGUCCGGAUUCAUUGGGCGUAAAGAGCUCGUAGGCGGCUCAGCAAGUCGGGUGUGAAAACUCCAGGCUCAACCUGGAGACGCCACUCGAUACUGCUGUGGCUAGAGUCCAGUAGGGGAGCGUGGAAUUCCCGGUGUAGCGGUGAAAUGCGCAGAUAUCGGGAGGAACACCAGCGGCGAAGGCGGCGCUCUGGGCUGGAACUGACGCUGAGGAGCGAAAGCGUGGGGAUCAAACAGGAUUAGAUACCCUGGUAGUCCACGCCGUAAACGUUGGGCACUAGGUGUGGGGACUUUCCAACGGUCUCCGUGCCGAAGCUAACGCAUUAAGUGCCCCGCCUGGGGAGUACGGCCGCAAGGCUAA
rnacentral:rRNA from 1 species